rnacentral:rRNA from 1 species
GACGUAGGGCGCGAGCGUUGUCCGGAUUUAUUGGGCGUAAAGGGCUCGUAGGCGGUUUGUCGCGUCGGGAGUGAAAACUCAGGGCUUAACCCUGAGCCUGCUUCCGAUACGGGCAGACUAGAGGUAUGCAGGGGAGAACGGAAUUCCUGGUGUAGCGGUGAAAUGCGCAGAUAUCAGGAGGAACACCGGUGGCGAAGGCGGUUCUCUGGGCAUUACCUGACGCUGAGGAGCGAAAGUGUGGGGAGCGAACAGG